GUUUUCUUUGUCUUUUUUUCUUCUACUAUGAAUUGGGAAUUGCAGAGCAGUCGUUUCUGAAUGAAGACGUUUCACUCCAACAUUUUGGCUUGCCUUGAGUGCAUUGAGUGAAGAGGAAUUGUCCUUGGCCACCUAUAACAUCUAUAAUUGGUUAAUGCAUCUUUGCAAUCACCUGAGCCUGUGGAAACCUCAUAUCUCAACAUACAUGACCUGAUUCUCAACCUCGUGGUCUACAUCCAUGCUAAGGAACACCAGCCCCACUGCCAGCUCUGGGCACUCAGCUCAGCCUUGCUGACUCCUGUUGCCUUCUCUUCACUUUGGGAAUUGAUUUUCCUGCCAAGGCAACCCAAGAUGAUGAGGCAGAAGCUAUGGCAGCAUUGUUCUCAUCCUGAGAGCCAAGGCUGGAUGUGUUCCUCCUGACACUGCCCUGAAGGAGACAGUGGGAGUGCCAGAGCAGUGCUGUCACCUGCCCCGGGUCUGUGGUGACAGUAAAUCUCCCAUGGAGAGCUCCUCCUGGGGCAGGACCAGAGCAGCCAUUCGGCACUGCUGUCUGUCGCUCCUUGCUUUUGCAGAGGUGAAUGAGGACUUGAUUCCAAACCAGCCUGCUGACAUAUUGUGAGCCCUUCGUUCCUUGAGUCUGUCCCAGUGGGGACCAUGGAGCCUGGGCUGGCUGCUGGCUGCUCUUUGGCCCAUGGGAGUCCUCACGAAAGAAAGGCAGGAGUAUCUUUCUUAUGCGUGCUGCUCACAGUGUUGUCCACAACUGGCCAAAAUCCAUGGAGAGAGGCAAUAGUUUUGCUAGCCCAGAUGGAAGUUCUUUCCUUGGGACACACAGAAACUCUUGCUUGUAGCGUUACACCAGCCUAGCUACACUACUACUUCUCUCAUUCCCAUCAAAUCCUUCUGAUGCUGGACCAGAGAAGAAGCCCCUGAGACAUAAUACAAAGGUGAGCUUAGCUCCUUCUUAACUGCAUGGUCAGUCACUGGCACAGGCUGCCCAGGGAAGUGGUGGAGUCCUCAUGCCUGGAGGUGUUUGAGAACUGUGGAGAUGUGGCACAUGGAGACAUGGUCAGUGAGUAUGGUGGGGGUAAGUUGGUGUUGGAUUUGGUGAUUUAGUGGUCUUUUCCAACCUUAACGAUUCUAUAUACACAGAAUGAUUCUAUACACAUCAUCAGGAUUGAUGGUCGUAUUUGUAAAUCUAACCCUUAUUAAAUGUUCAAAUAAAGGCUACAAUAUGCUUGGUACACAACCCUACAGGUCUUCCAGGAGAGCACUACUCUGCUGAGCCUGCUAGACUUCCAUCCUGCCCUCUCUGGCUUGAUCACACAACUGACGCAAAUGCCAGUAAGAAACAAGUGAAAAAGUUAGUAGAAAAAAAAAGAAAAUUAAAAAAAUGUGAAUUAUUCAGGUUUAUAUCAGAGAGGAAUCAGCAGAGUGCAGUGAAAUUGGAGUGUCAGAGGAGAGAGCAGCAGAAAAGCAUGAGUGUGUUUCUCUGUAUAUGACAUAAAGAGGUUGCAAGGGACUCCUAUGGGACUCUUUUUGGGAAUAUGAAGUCUGGACAAAAUAAUGUA